GACGAACGCUGGCGGCGUGCUUAACACAUGCAAGUCGAACGAUGACGACCGAGCUUGCUCGGUCUGAUUAGUGGCGAACGGGUGAGUAACACGUGAGCAACCUGCCCUUCACUCUGGGAUAACCUCGGGAAAUCGGGGCUAAUACCGGAUAUGAGCUCCUGUCGCAUGGCGGGUGUUGGAAAGUUUUUCGGUGAAGGAUGGGCUCGCGGCCUAUCAGUUUGUUGGUGAGGUAGUGGCUCACCAAGGCGAUGACGGGUAGCCGGCCUGAGAGGGCGACCGGCCACACUGGGACUGAGACACGGCCCAGACUCCUGCGGGAGGCAGCAGUGGGGAAUAUUGCACAAUGGGCGAAAGCCUGAUGCAGCGACGCCGCGUGAGGGAUGACGGCCUUCGGGUUGUAAACCUCUUUCAGCAGGGAAGAAGCGAAAGUGACGGUACCUGCAGAAGAAGCGCCGGCUAACUACGUG
rnacentral:rRNA from 1 species